ACAAUCUAGCGACGGCGAACGGGGAGCCGAAAAAAAAUUUGUGUAAUCGCGUUUUUCGUGUGUUGUUGGCUGUGCCGUUCGUCCGUGGUGUUGUUGGCGAAAAUAAGUGAAAAAUCGUCGUACAGAAAAACAAAACUAAUCUGGAAUUAGUUUUCCCCCCGGUUUCUGGUGCGCGAUUUCCGCUGUUGUAUUCGUUGUUGAGUUUUACCGAUUCGGUUCAAGAGUCCUUCUCCUCGAGAACUGCGAGAAAGCAAUCACUCGAGUCGAGUCGAGUUCGAAGGCCUUCCGCGUAUCCAUUGCAGCGACAAGUGAAAAAAGAAUAAUCGGUGCACUAAAGGGUUUUUCGGCUAGAGUUUUGUGUAUUCUUCGUAAGUGCCAAGGCUUGACCUUCCGCAAGCGUAUUCGGUGCAUUUUUGCCCAUAAUUAGUUGCGGAAUUGCGCAAUUCUGUGUGUCUUUUGUCGCCCUAGCCGUCUAGGCCUCUGCUAUGAGUGAGGGAGAUUUAUAGACGAAAAAUCCUUUUUUUUUUGCAACUCAACUGCAGACAAGAGUGAAGAAGAGUGGUAAAAGUGCAUCUCAACCUAACUUUCACACGUAUCAUAAUAAUCGCGCUUCCGACUGUGUGUAUUAGUGAGUGAGUUCACGUAGUUUCUACUCGGGGAGGCAGUUGGUAAACUUCCGAUCAGUGGUUGAUAUUAUAUGAUAUAGCGUUAAAAUUAUACAUACCCUUACGGUAAUCGUGUGGUGCACGACGAAAGUAUAACAAAAGUGUUUUCUCGUUGUGAGAAAAUUGAACCUUUCGCCCCCGCAGACUGAUUAGUGCCUUUUGAUAGUGCAAAAACGCAUCUCAAUCAUACAGCAGUGAGUAGUGAGGAAAAGUGACACCAACGAGUGCUGCCAUCCAGAUUCGCCGCAUCACUGAAG